CCUACGGGAGGCAGCAGUGAGGAAUAUUGGUCAAUGGGCGAGAGCCUGAACCAGCCAAGUCGCGUGAAGGAUGAAGGAUCUAUGGUUUGUAAACUUCUUUUAUAUGGGAAUAAAGUGAGGAACGUGUUCCUUUUUGUAUGUACCAUAUGAAUAAGCAUCGGCUAACUCCGUGCCAGCAGCCGCGGUAAUACGGAGGAUGCGAGCGUUAUCCGGAUUUAUUGGGUUUAAAGGGUGCGUAGGCGGAAUAUCAAGUCAGCGGUAAAAAUUCGGGGCUCAACCCCAUCCAGCCGUUGAAACUGGGGAUCUAGAGUGUGCGAGAGGUAUGCGGAAUGCGUGGUGUAGCGGUGAAAUGCAUAGAUAUCACGCAGAACCCCGAUUGCGAAGGCAGCAUACCGGUGCACAACUGACGCUCAGGCACGAAAGCGUGGGUAUCGAACAGGAUUAGAUACCCGAGUAGUC
rnacentral:rRNA from 1 species